UCAGACAUACACACAUAUGUAUAUAGCAGACACCAGACGUCACCCAGAUUCACAGUAAACACAUAAUAAAUAACAGCUAGUCAUAGAAAUGCAGAAACCGAUCAUGCAUUUCUAUAAAACCAGCACAGACCUUAUUUUGGUUACUCUAACUCUGAUUCUGAAGGAAAAUGUUUAUAUUGGUUUGAAACACUAUUUAUUGUUUGCAGCGGGGCACUGCGGUUCCGCUCCGCUCCUGCAGGCGGCGGUAAAGCAGCUGUAACGCUCAAAUACACGCCAUCUUCAUGCACGAGGAACGCAUCGUUCUUUUUCCGCCCGGAUCAGCAGAGACUGCGAGGUGGCAAGAUGCAGAUCUUUGUGAAAACUCUGACCGGUAAGACCAUCACCCUCGAGGUCGAGCCCAGCGACACCAUCGAGAAUGUGAAGGCCAAGAUCCAGGACAAGGAGGGUGUGUAUGAAAAAACGGAAAAAAAAUUAUGUGUAUAUGUGUGUAUGUAUAAGUAAAAUGUCAAAAUAUAUUUCUCUGUAUUUUUAUUUUCUAGUACAAAAUAUCUAAACCUCUUUAAAUCAAGAUACAUUUACUUGAGAUGCAAGCUGAAGAUGUGAAGCUAUGUUUUCUAAGGAUUUAAACCAAACUAAGUGUGUUUAUGCUUUAAAUAAUAACGGGUAUCAAAUUUAAUUUAAUAUAAAGGUAAUUCAAUUUUCAAAUUCAGUAAAAUUAUUAGUAAUUUUUUUUUAUUUGCUCACUUCAUUUUGAUACAUUUCUCAGAAAAUAAAACUUAAAGGGUUAGUUCA
ensembl:lncRNA